UUUUUUUUUUUUAAUUGGUAAGGGUUGGGCUGGAGGACAUGGUUUCUGUCUCUAUGCAGGUAGGCUUCCGUCCAGAAUUCGAUUUACAGUGGCAGGGCAGCCAGAACACACGUCACUGAUGUAAUAAAAAUGUACCCGUGUGUGACCUUGGCCCUGCUAUUUUUGCCAAAAGACCCAGACAUAUGUCUACUUUCACAGCAUUUCUCACAUCCUAAAACUUGAGAGUGAUUGUAAUCAUCAUAGCCAAUCAGGGUAACAGUGACAGUAAUGCAAACAACAGAUGUGAACGAGGGAUGUCAUUUGGAUUUAUCAUUGAUCUGAAUAGGUAUCUGGGCAAUCCCUUUCAAAUAAUGUACAAGCAGUCAAGACAGAACUUGUAUUAAAACCCUUAUUAUCAAAUUCUGGGAAGAUGACCGCGGUGGGAAUGGCGAGCUUUGGGUUCUUCCUAAAUCCCAAUAGAAAGAAAGACAGUGAAAUUUUAAAAAUCAGUGGACAAUAUUUACAACACAACUAGGUGAUGAGGAACUCUGUGAACCCCAAACUGCAAACCAGCAAGAGCCACAAGAUCCGCAUGUAAUCAGCAAGUGUUCAGGAGAAAGCAGACGGAAGCCACAGGAUGACCAACAGCCUGUCAAUAGGAGGCACCAAAAUGGCCACCAAUACUCAGGAGGAGGUGGGCCACUGAGGGCAGCAGCAGGCAGGAGAGGGGUUUGCCUCUUGCUUAGCAGGUGAGGCAAAUGGCCUUCAGUAAGCAGGGCUGAUGGGCUUAGCAGCAUGCCCUUCCUACCUUCCAUAGGGCUCUACACUCAGGCAAAAUGGUCGGAGCUGAAUUAAAAUUGAUUGGAAAAGAACAAAAGAGGUGAUGGAAAGAGAAGGUCCAGAUAAAACUGGGGCAGGCAAACAGAGCAAAAAAUACUCAGAAAAAUCACCUUUAAAUUAAAAAAAAUAUGUAUACUUAAUACCACAUGGAAACAAAAGGAGCUGUUAGCACAAAAUAUCUUUCUGAUAGUCAGGAAAACUAAAUUCACAGUAAAAUGUUCAACAGAAACGUGUCAAGGCCAAAUCCCAUACAAAGAUCCCAUGUGUUUUCAAUAAAAAGUCCUGCUUGAGAAAUUUUCAUAGCUUAUCAGGAUGAAUUAAAUUAUCCUUUUUGCCACCGUAAAAUACAAGAAGGAAGAAAAAUUCAAAAUCUGGAUAAACUACAUUCAAUUUUGACAUAAUACAGAAUGUGAAGAGAAGGGAAACUGAAUACAUUGUUAGAAAAAAUAUUUAAAACAUUUUAAUUUCUUGAUCAACUUUUAAACUGUGAUUACUAAAAUUACUAUAAAAAUUCUACAUUUUUAAAUUAUUUUACAGGUUUAUUACUGAUUCCUAGUUCUUUCUCUUGUGGCAAUAUUUGGUUUUGAACUUGAUUUCAGCCAAAUACUGAAUUUGACCCCUGGCCGCUUCACAUUUUGGAAAAAUAUAUAUCAGUGCAUUUCAAUUCUGUAGGAUUUAUGGCCCAGAUGACAGAAAGACAACAUGGAUUCUCAAUGGGCUGCUCUCUCCCAAAAGAACAAUGAGAGGAAGGUGUUGGGCUGUGCACCCUCAAUGUCACUUUCUAGACUCUUUAAUCAGGUUAAGUAUUUAUCAAUUAUCUAUUAUUGUUUAAAAACCACCCAAAAACUAAUUAAAAAAGAUUCAUGCAUUCCAAUGUUCACAGCAGCACUAUUCAAAGUAGCCAAGACAUGGAAACAACCCAAGUGCCCAUCAACAGACAACUGGUUUAAGAAGACGUGGUGUAUAUAUACAAUGGAAAAUUACUCAGCCAUAGAAAGAAUGAAAUAUUGCCAUUUGCAGCAACAUGGAUGGACCUAGAGAUUAUCAUACUAAGUGAAGUAAAUCAGACAGAGAAAGGCAAUACUGUAUAUCACUUAUAUGUGGAAUCUAAAAAAUAAUACAAAUUAAUCUAUAUACAAAGCAGAAAUAGACUCACGGACAUAAAAUACAAAGUUAUGGUUGCUAAAGGGAGAGGGUGGAAGGAUAAAUUAGGAGUUUGGGAUUAUCUGUUAACAGAUAAGCAACAGGGAUUUACUGUAUAAUACAGGGAACUAGAUUCAAUAUCUUGUAAUAAUCUAUAAUGGAAAAUAAUCUGAAAAAGUGUGUGUGUGUGUGUGUGUGUGUGUGUGUGUGUGUGUAUAAAAAUCACUUACUUAUAUUCCUGAAGCUAACACAAUAUUGUAAAUAAACUAUACUCUAAUCUUAAAAAUAAAUUUAAAAAGAGACUUAGUAACAUAAAGCAACAACAAUUUUAAAUGUUCACAGUACCAUUAGUCCUUGUUGUUUCAGCAUCACAUACACAAAACUGGAAUAAUACAGAGAAGAUUAACAUGUCCCUGGAGCAAAGAAGACAUGCAAAUUCAAGAAGUGCUCCAUAUUUCUAAGGGGUUAAUUCUUCAAGAAGAUAUAACAGGUGUAAAUACAUAUACACUCAACAUCAGAGCACCUAAAUAUAUUCAGCAAAUAGUAAUAGAUCUAAAAAGAGAAAUAGACAGUUAUACAAUAAUACUAAGGGACUUCAAUACCUCACUUUCAACAAUGGAUAGCUCAUCCAGACAGAAAAUCAAAAAGGAAAUGUUGUAUUUGAAUCAUACACUAAAUGGACCUAACAAACAUUUACAGAGCAUUCCAUCCAUCAGCAGCAGAACACAUAUUCUUCUGAAGUGCACACGGAACAUUCUCCAGGGUAGAUUAUGUUAUAGGCCACAAAGGGAGUCUUAGUAAAUUUUAAAAGAUUGAAAUCUUUUUAUACCACAAUGAUAUAACUUGAAAUCAACAAAAAGAGGAAAGGUGGAAAAUUUACAAGCACGUAGAAACUAAACAACACACUCCUAAACAAUGAGUAGUCUGAGGAAGAAACAAAAAGGGAAAUUAAAAAAAAAAAUCUCAAAACAGGAGUUCCCUUCAUGGCUCAGAGGAAAUGAAUCUGACUAGCAUCCAUGAGGAUGCCGGUUCAAUCUCUGGUCUUGCUCAAUGGGUUGAGGAUCUGGCAUUGCUGUGAGCUGUGGUGUAAGUUGCAGACAUCGCUUGUAUCUGGCGUUGCUGUGGCUGUGGUAUAGGCCAGCAGCUACAGCCCUUAGCCUGGGAACCUCCAUAUGCUGAAGCUGCGGCCCUAAAAAGACAAAAACAAAACAAAACAAACAAACAAAAAAACCCCAAAACUCAAAACAAUGAAAAUAGAAACAGCACACCAAAACCUAUGGGAUGUUGCGAAAGCAAUUCUGAGAGGCAAGUUUAUAGUAAUAAACACAUGUAUUAAGAAAACAGAAAAAUCUCAAAGAAUUAAAGAAAGAAUAAACUAAGACCAAAGUUAGCAAAAGAAAGGAAAUGACAAGGAUCAGAGUGAAAAUAAAUGAAAUAUAGACCAUAAAAACAAUACAAAAGAUCAAUGGAACUAAGAUCUGGUUUUUCAAAAAGAUAAACAAAAUUGGCAAGCUUUUAGCUAGACUAAGAAAAAAGAGAAAAGAUUCAAAAUCAGAGAUGAAAGAAGAGACAUUAUAAAUGAUAUCAGAGAAAUAUAUGGUACCAUAAGAGACUACCAUAACUAUUAAAGACCAAUGAUUGGCUAAACUAGAAAAGGAUAAAAUCGUAGAAGUGCAUAACGUACCAAGGCCGAAUCUGGAAGAAAGAGAAAAUUUUAACAUAUCAAUAAUGAGUGAGAUUGAAUCAGUAAAUAAGAACCUUCCAACGCAGAAAAACCCAAGGCAGAUGUCUUUACUGGUGAAUUCUACCAAACAUUGAAGGAAGAAUUAACACCAAUCCUUCUCAAACUCUUCCAAAAAACUAAAGGGGAGGGAACUGUUUUAAGCUUCUUUGCUUUGCGAAGCCAGAAUUACCCUGAUAACAAAGCCAAUUAAGACCAAGAAAGGAAAACUAUAGAACAAUAUCUCUGAUAAAUGAAAAAAUUCUGAAAAAAUAUUAGCGAAUUGAAUCCAACAACACAUUAAAAGUAUCAUACGCUAUGCCCAAAUGAGAUUUAUCCCUGGGAUGUAAGACUGGCUCAACAUAAUGCAAAUCAAUAAAUGCUGGAGUUCCUGUUGUGGCACAGCAGAAAUGAAUCUGACUAGGAACCAUGAGGUUUCAGUUCAAUCCCUGGCCUUGCUCAGUGGGUUAAGGAUCUGGCAUGAGCUGUGGUGUAGGUCGCAGACGCUGCUCGGAUCCCAAGUUGCUGUGGCUCUGGCAUAGGCCGGUAGCUACAGCCGUGUUUGGACCCCUAGCCUGGGAAUCUCCAUGUGCUGUGGGUGUGGCCAUGGAAAAACACGAUAAAAUAAAAUAAAGGCAUCCAGUUCAGAAAGGAAAAAGUAAAAUUGUCAUUUUUUCCAAAUGAUAUGGUCUGAUGUGGAAAAUCUUAAAGACUCAACCAAAAAACUGCAGAAACUAAUAAAUGAAUUCAGUAAAGUUUCAGGAUAUAAAAUCAACAUACAGAAAUCAGUUGUUUCUAAACACUAACAAUGAACUAUCCGAAAAAAAGUUAAACUCUUCCAUUUACAAUAGUAUCAAAAACAAUAAAAUACUUUGGAAUAAGUUUAACCAAGGAAACCUGUACAAUGAAAGCUACAAGACCUUAAUGAAAGCAACUGAAAAAAACAUACAUGGAAAGAUAUCUUAUGUUCAUGGAUAAUAAUCAACAUUGUUAAAAUGUCCAGACUAUCCAAAAUCAUCUAGAGUAUAGAUUCAGCAUAAUCUCUACCAAAAAUCCAAUACAUUUUUCUAUUUUUUUUUCUUUUUUCUUUUUUUUUAAGUCCACACCUGUGGCAUAUGGAAGUUCCUAGGCUAGGGGUUGAAUCAGAGUUAUAGCUGAGGCCUAACCACAGCCACAGCCACAGCCACACUGGAUCUAAGCUGCAUCUGCAACCUACACCACAGCUUGCAGCAACACCGGAUCUUUCAUCCACUGAGUAUGGUCAGGGAAGAACCUGCAUUCUCACAGAAAUUACUUUGGGUCCUUAAUCUACUGAGCCAUAAUGGGAACCCCAAAAAUCCAAUACAUUUUCCACAGUAAUAGCAAAAACAAUCCUAAAAUUCGUAUAGAACUACAAUAGACCCUGAAUAGCUAAAGCAAUCCUGAGAAAGGGGAAAGGAUAUUCUCUUCAAUACAUGGUGUUGGGAAAAUUGGAUAAUCACAAGAAGAAAAAUGAAAUUUGGCCCAUAUCUUACAUCACUCACAAAAAUUAACUUGAAAUGGAUUAAAAAAUUAAACGUAAGACCUGAUACUGUAAAACUCCUACAAGAAAAAUAGAGAAGAAGCUCUUUGACAUUGGUCUUGGCAAUGAUUUUUUGGAUAUGAUAUGACACCCCAAACUCCAGCAACAAAAGCAAAAAUCAACAAGUGGGACCAUGUCAAACUAAAAUUUGUGCAUUGAAAGAAACAAUCAACAAAAUGAAAAGGCAGGAGUUCCCGUCGUGGCGCAGUGGUUAACGAAUCCGACUAGGAACCAUGAGGUUGCAGGUUCGGUCCCUGCCCUUGCUCAGUGGGUUAAUGAUCCGGCGUUGCUGUGAGCUGUGGUGUAGGUUGCAGAUGUGGCUCGGAUCCCACGUUGCUGUGGCUCUGGUGUAGGCUGGUGGCUACAGCUCCGAUUCGACCCCUAGCCUGGGAACCUCCAUAUGCCACGGCAGCGGCCCAAGAAAAAGCAAAAAAAAACCAAAAAAAAAAAAAAAAAA
rnacentral:lncRNA from 1 species